AACUAUAUCGCUAGAAUAUGAUAGAGGACAAUGGAAUUCCAUGUGUAGCGGUGAAAUGCAUAGAUAUAUGGAGGAACACCAAUUGCGAAGGCAGUUGUCUGGGUCAUUAUUGACGUUGAGGCUCGAAAGCAUGGGUAGCAAAUAGGAUUAGAUACCCUAGUAGUCCAUGCCGUAAACGAUGAAUACUAGUUAUUAGAUGUUAAGUCUAGUGAUUGAGCUAACGCAUUAAGUAUUCCACCUGAGUAGUACAUUCGCAAGAAUGAAACUUAAAGGAAUUGACGGGGACCCGCACAAGCGGUGGAGCAUGUGGUUUAAUUCGAAGAAACGCGAAAAACCUUACCUGGAUUUGACAUCCCUUGCAAAGCUAUGGAAACAUAGUGGAGGUUAUCAAGGUGACAGGUGGUGCAUGGUUGUCGACAGUUCGUGUCGUGAGAUGUAUGGUUAAGUCCCAUAACGAGCGCAACCCUCAUCCUUAUUUGCUAACAUUUAGUUGAGAACUAUAAGGAAACUGCAGUCGUAAGAUUGAGGAAGGUGGGGAUGACGUCAAAUCAUCAUGCCCCUUAUAUUCAGGGCUACACACGUGCUACAAUGGUUGAGACAAAGGGAAGCUAACCCGUGAGGGGGUGCAAAUCUCAUCAAACUCAAUCUCAGUUUGGAUCGAAGUCUGCAAUUCGACUUCGUGAAAUUGGAAUCGCUAGUAAUCGCAAAUCAGCAAUGUUGCGGUGUAUACGUUCUCGGGUCUUGUACACACCGCCCNUCAUCUUGCUGAAAAACU
rnacentral:rRNA from 1 species